rnacentral:rRNA from 1 species
AUGUGCCGAUCAAAAAUCAAGUACUAAUUCUUGGUUCACCUCAGUGUUUAGAAUUCAUAGGACAGCCACUCCAGUUGGUCAUUUCUCCUUUUUGAUUUAUAGUUCAGAGUCAGGCACUGGGAGGGCCCUGAAGAAGUGAAGAGUAAUUCUUUCUUUGCUGAUAGGCAGCUGUGCUGUGGAAGAGGUGACAGGUGGUGCAUGGUUGUCGUCAGCUCGUGUCGUGAGAUGUUGGGUUGCGCUCGUUGCGGGACUUAACCCGUCGACGCGGCCG